UUUGAAUGAUGCAUACUGAACGCAAAAAUAGGCUGGAGUUCAAAAAACUUUAAAAAACAUUGAAGUGCCCGUGUAACAGAUGAGUUCUCGUCCGAAACCCUGAUACUCCAAAAGAGAUUGUCCAGUUUGUACACGAGGUGCGUCCAGUAUUCGCCGUGACCGUCUCUACUCCUUUGCACAUGCUAUGCGGGUGAAAUGAUGAGACCAUGCCAAGUUCCAGCAUUUUCAGAGUUCAUUUUGUAGUGAUUUUCAAUUUCACCGUCAUUUAGCUCUUUAAACAAAUCGGUAAAUGACUGAAAAACAGCAAAUGAUGUCAGAACGUGUUGGAAAUUGAUGACGUCGCUUUGAAUGAUGCAUACUGAACGCAAAAAUAGGCUGGAGUUCAAAAAAGUUUAAAAAACAUUGAAGUGCCCGUGUAACAGAUGAGUUCUCGUCCGAAACCAUGAUACUCCGAAAGAGAUUGUCCAGUUUGUACACGAGGUGCCUCCAGUUUUCGCCGUGACCCUCUCUACUCUUUUGCACAUGCUACGAGGGUGAAAUGAUUAUACCAUGCCAAGUUCCAACAUUUUCGGAGUUCAUUUUGUAGUGAUUUUCAAUUUCACCGUCAUUUAGCUCUCUAAACAAAUCGGUACAUGACUGAAAAACAACAAAUGAUGUCCGAACAUGUUGGAAAUUGAUGAUGUCUCUUUGAAUGAUGCAUAUUGAAUGCAAAAAUAGGCUGGUGUUCAAAAAAGUUUAAAAAACAUUGAAGUGCCCGUGUAACAGAUGAGUUCUCGUCCGAAACCCUGAUACUCCGAAAGAGAUUGUCCAGUUUGUACACGAGGUGCGACAAGUUUUCGUCGUGACCCUCUCUACUCUUUUGCACAUUCUAUGCGGGUGAAAUGAUGAUACCAUGCCAAGUUCCAACAUUUUCAGAGUUCAUUUUGUAGUGAUUUUCAAUUUCACCGUCAUUUAGAGCUCUAAACAAAUCGGUAAAUGAUUGAAAAACAACAAAUGAUGUCACAACGUGUUGGAAAUUGAUGAUGUCACUUUGAAUGAUGCAUACUGAACGCAAAAAUAGGCUGGAGUUCAAAAAAGUUUAAAAAACAUUGAAGUGCCUGUGUAACAGAUGAGUUCUCGUAUGAAACCCUGAUACUCCGAAAGAGAUUGUCCAGUUUGUACACGAGGUGCGUCCAGUUUUCGCCGUGACCCUCUCUACUCUUUUGCACAUGCUAUGAGGGUGAAAUGAUGAUACCAUGCCAAGUUCCAACAUUUUCAGAGUUCAUUUUGUAGUGAUUUUCAAUUUCACCGUCAUUUAGAUCUCUAAACAAAUUGGUAAAUGACUGAAAAACAGCAAAUGAUGUCAGAACGUGUUGGAAAUGGAUGACGUCGCUUUGAAUGAUGCAUACUGAACGCAAAAAUAGGCUGGNNNNNNNNNNGUCAUUUAGCUCUCUAAACAAAUCGGUAAAUGACUGAAAAACAGCAAAUGAUGUCAGAACGUGUUGGAAAUUGAUGACGUUGCUUUGAAUGAUGCAUACUGAACGCAAAAAUAGGCUGUAGUUCAAAUAAGUUUAAAAAACAUUGAAGUGCCCGUGUAACAGAUGAGUUCUCGUCCGAAACCCUGAUACUCCGAAAGAGGUUGUCCAGUUUGUACACGAGGUGCGUCCAGUUUUCGCCGUGACCCUCUCUACUCUUUUGCGCAUGCUAUGCGGGUGAAAUGAUGAUACCAUGCCAAGUUCCAACAUUUUCAGAGUUCAUUUUGUAGUGAUUUUCAAUUUCACCGUCAUUUAGCUCUCUAAACAAAUCGGUAAAUGACUGAAAAACAGCAAACGAUGUCAGAACGUGUUGGAAAUUGAUGACGUCGCUUUGAAUGAUGCAUACUGAACGCAAAAAUAGGCUGGAGUUCUAAUAAGUUUAAAAAAGAUUGAAGUGCCCGUGUAACAGAUGAGUUCUCGUCCGAAACCCUGACCCUCCGAAAGAGAUUGUCCAGUUUGUACACGAGG
rnacentral:lncRNA from 1 species